GUCGUUAACGAACGAGACCUUAUACUACUAAAUAGCCAGGCUCGCUUUGGCGGGUCGCCGGCUUCUUAGAGUGACUUUCGGCUCAAGCCGAAGGAAGUUUGAGGCAAUAACAGGUCUGUGAUGCCCUUAGAGAUGUUCCGGGCCGCACGCGCGCUACACUGACAGAGCCAACGAGUUCAUCUCCUUGUCCGAAAGGUCUGGGUAAUCUUGUUAAACUCUGUCGUGCUGGGGAUAGAGCAUUGCAAUUAUUGCUCUUCAACGAGGAAUUCCUAGUAAGCGCAAGUCAUCAGCUUGCGUUGAUUACGUCCCUGCCCUUUGUACACACCGCCCGUCGCUAGUACCGAUUGAAUGGGUA
rnacentral:rRNA from 1 species